GUUAUAUUGGCAGAUUAGUGCAUUAAAUUUAGAAUUUAAUAAGGUAAAUUUAAAAAUUUAUAUAUAAUA
rnacentral:tRNA from 1 species